AAAAACAUUUCCUCUUGGUAUAAGAGGUAAGGCCUGCUCACUGACUAGGUUGAAGAGCCGCAGUAUAUUGACUGUGCUAAGGUAGCAUAAUCAUUAGUCCUUUAAUUGGGGACUGGUAUGAAUGGCUAAACGAGAAAUUAGCUUUCUUUGUUAUGGUUUGUUGAAUUUAACUUGUAAGUGAAAAGGCUUACAUGAUUCAGAAAGACGAGAAGACCCUAUAGAGUUUUACAAAGGCUUAAAAUACAGCUUAUUAGUUUUUAAGGGUUAUAUUUUGGAAAUUUGUUUGGUUGGGGCGACAUAAAGAUAAAAAAAACUCUUUGUAGUAUAAACUUUGGUGGAAGAAAAGGUUUGAUCCUCUAAAAGGGAUUAUAAGAAAAAAUUACCUUAGGGAUAACAGCGUAAUCUUCUUUUAGAGUUCAAAUCGACAAGAAGGUUUGCGACCUCGAUGUUGGACUAAAAUUUGGGCAAGGUGCAGCAGCUUUGUUUUUGGGUCUGUUCGACCCGUAAUAUUUUACAUGAUCUGAGUU
rnacentral:rRNA from 1 species